GCCCUCGUGGUGGAAUUGGUAGACACGCUACUUUGAGGUGGUAGUGCUUAACGGCGUCACGGUUCGAGUCCGUGCGAGGGCA
rfam:Gemmatimonas phototrophica strain AP64, complete genome.